rnacentral:rRNA from 1 species
CCGGCGCGCGGGUGAGUAACACGUAUCCAACCUGCCGUCUACUCUUGGCCAGCCUUCUGAAAGGAAGAUUAAUCCAGGAUGGGAUCAUGAGUUCACAUGUCCGCAUGAUUAAAGGUAUUUUCCGGUAGACGAUGGGGAUGCGUUCCAUUAGAUAGUAGGCGGGGUAACGGCCCACCUAGUCUUCGAUGGAUAGGGGUUCUGAGAGGAAGGUCCCCCACAUUGGAACUGAGACACGGUCCAA